rnacentral:rRNA from 1 species
AUUGAACGCUGGCGGCAUGCUUUACACAUGCAAGUCGAACGGUAACAGGCCGCAAGGUGCUGACGAGUGGCGAACGGGUGAGUAAUGCAUCGGAACGUGCCCAGUCGUGGGGGAUAACGCAGCGAAAGCUGCGCUAAUACCGCAUACGAUCUAUGGAUGAAAGCGGGGGACCGUAAGGCCUCGCGCGAUUGGAGCGGCCGGUGUCAGAUUAGGUAGUUGGUGGGGUAAAGGCCUACCAAGCCAACGAUCUGUAGCUGGUCUGAGAGGGCGACCAGCCACACUGGGACUGAGACACGGCCCAGACUCCUACGGGAGGCAGCAGUGGGGAAUUUUGGACAAUGGGCGCAAGCCUGAUCCAGCAAUGCCGCGUGCAGGAAGAAGGCCUUCGGGUUGUAAACUGCUUUUGUACGGAACGAAAAGGCUCUGGUUAAUACCUGGGGCUCAUGACGGUACCGUAAGAAUAAGCACCGGCUAACUACGUGCCAGCAGCCGCCGUAAAAC